AAAAAAAAAGGUUUUGAUUCCAUAUAAUUAACUGGCUUUGUGGAUCUGCCUCGUUCCUAUCGAUCCCCUCCAGCGAGGCGAGCGCUCCCGUUUACUCCAGCACUGCUGCAGGGAGGCCGCUGCCUGCCCCUCCCCGGGCUCAGCCCGCCCUGGCUCGCAUGGCCGAGUUUGGGUCCAAGACAAGUACAGGGAAAGAUUAGAGGCAGAGGACUCGAGCCGCCAGUGGAGAAGGGAGCGGGCAGCCAAGCAGCCGAGCUGCACAGCUGACUGUCAUGAGCUCUGUGCAGACACUUCUCCGCCGUCUCCUCUGCACGCUCAGGAUCCGGCCACGGAGCUGCCGCCCCGCUGCACCCACCCAGCGAUACGUCUUCAUAAACACUGCUGUCCCCAUUUUCCAGCCCAAUAGGAUUAUUUGUGCUAUGCCCAACUCCACCCGCUUCCCCACUGCAGAGCUGUGCGGGAACCCUGGCAGGCGAGCAGGGAUGGUGCCCAAACGGGACAGUGCCCAGCCCGCGGGUUGCAUUUCCCAGCAGUGGGGACUCGGAUCUGGAGGGACAGCAGGAGCCCAAGGGCUGUGAGGUGCCCUCAGCCCCUGCAAAGUACAAAAAGGCCCAGAAGAGAAAAGGGAGGAGCAGCCCCAGGCAACCCCAGCACACCCGUUACAGGACCUGAGGGCGAAGCAACAGAUCUGCCAAGACAAACACAAGCACACACAACUCAUCAAAUCUCCUCACGUACGUGUUCCUCCGGUCCUGAUGCACAGCCCAGCUAGGUUGCUGCCAAGAUUCACCCACAAGGUCUCCAUGGAUGCCUGGAAGCGCACCAAAGUGUAAAUAACAA